AGCACCUGUGACGUUUCACAUUGAAUGUGAGAUGCGGACCAGGCAGCCAGGACCUGUCCACGUCCCAGAGCCUCAGCUUCCUCCAGGAAUGGGAGGUUUUAUUCGAAAACCUCCCCAUCACAGGCUGAGACCAAAACCUGUUCAAGAGCCUCGGCACGCCCCAGAACCUCCCCAAGAUUG